rnacentral:misc_RNA from 1 species
UACGGAGGGGGCUAGCGUUGUUCGGAAUUACUGGGCGUAAAGCGGGUGUAGGCGGACCGGUCAGUGGAGGGUGAAAUCCCAGGGCUCAACCCUGGAACUGCCUUCCAUACUGCCGGUCUCGAGUCUGGGAGAGGUGAGCGGAAUUCCGAGUGUAGAGGUGAAAUUCGUAGAUAUUCGGAGGAACACCAGAGGCGAAGGCGGCUCACUGGACCAGUACUGACGCUGAGACCCGAAAGCGUGGGGAGCAAACAGG